GGAGGGUCAUUGGAAACUGGGGAACUUGAGUGCAGAAGAGGAGAGUGGAAUCCACGUGUAGCGGUGAAAUGCGUAGAGAUGUGGAGGAACACCAGUGGCGAAGGCGACUCUCUGGUCUGUAACUGACGCUGAGGAGCGAAAGCGUGGGGAGCGAACAGGAUUAGAUACCCUGGUAGUCCACGCCGUAAACGAUGAGUGCUAAGUGUUAGGGGGUUUCCGCCCCUUAGUGCUGCAGCUAACGCAUUAAGCACUCCGCCUGGGGAGUACGGUCGCAAGACUGAAACUCAAAGGAAUUUGACCGGGGGCCCGCACAAGCGGGUGGAGCAUGUUGGUUUAAUUCCGGAAGCAACGCGUAGAACCUUACCAGGUCUUGACAUCCUCGGACAAUCCUAGAGAUAGACGUCCCCUUCGGGGGCAGAGUGACAGGUGGUGCAUGGUUGUCGUCAGCUCGUGUCGUGAGAUGUUGGGUUAAGUCCCGCAACGAGCGCAACCGUUGAUCGUAGUUGCCAGCAUUCAGUUGGGCACUCUAAGGUGACUGCCGGUGACAAACCGGAGGAAGGUGGGGAUGACGUCAAAUCAUCAUGCCCCUUAUGACCUGGGCUACACACGUGCUACAAUGGACAGAACAAAGGGCAGCGAAACCGCGAGGUUAAGCCAAUCCCACAAAUCUGUUCUCAGUUCGGAUCGCAGUCUGCAACUCGACUGCGUGAAGCUGGAAUCGCUAGUAAUCGCGGAUCAGCAUGCCGCGGUGAAUACGUUCCCGGGCCUUGUACACACCGCCCGUCACACCACGAGAGUUUGUAACACCCGAAGUCGGCGAGGUAACCUUUUGGA
rnacentral:rRNA from 1 species